rnacentral:rRNA from 1 species
CCCUACGGGGGGCAGCAGUAGGGAAUCUUCCACAAUGGGCGAAAGCCUGAUGAAGCAACGCCGCGUGGGUGAAGAAGGUCUUCGGAUCGUAAAACCCUGUUGUUAGAGAAGAAAGUGCGUGAGAGUAACUGUUCACGUUUCGACGGUAUCUAACCAGAAAGCCACGGCUAACUACGUGCCAGCAGCCGCGGUAAUACGUAGGUGGCAAGCGUUAUCCGGAUUUAUUGGGCGUAAAGGGAACGCAGGCGGUCUUUUAAGUCUGAUGUGAAAGCCUUCGGCUUAGCCGGAGUAGUGCAUUGGAAACU